rnacentral:rRNA from 1 species
CUACGGGAGGCAGCAGUGGGGAAUAUUGCACAAUGGGCGAAAGCCUGAUGCAGCAACGCCGCGUGAGGGAUGACGGCCUUCGGGUUGUAAACCUCUUUCAGUAGGGAAGAAGCGAAAGUGACGGUACCUACAGAAGAAGCACCGGCUAACUACGUGCCAGCAGCCGCGGUAAUACGUAGGGUGCGAGCGUUGUCCGGAAUUAUUGGGCGUAAAGAGCUUGUAGGCGGUUUGUCGCGUCUGCCGUGAAAAUCCGGGACUCAACCCCGGACCUGCGGUGGGUACGGGCAGACUAGAGUGUGGUAGGGGAGACUGGAAUUCCUGGUGUAGCGGUGAAAUGCGCAGAUAUCAGGAGGAACACCGAUGGCGAAGGCAGGUCUCUGGGCCACUACUGACGCUGAGAAGCGAAAGCGUGGGGAGCGAACAGGAUUAGAAACCCUAGUAGUCC